rnacentral:pre_miRNA from 1 species
UAAAUACUCUCUCCGUCCCAAAUUACUUGUCACAGAAAUGGAUGUAUCUAGAACUAUAAAUACAUCUAGAUACAUCCAUUUCUGCGACAAGUAAUUUAGGACGGAGGGAGUACCAA